rnacentral:lncRNA from 1 species
AGAGUCCCUAGUGGACCAGGGAUCGAAGGUUAAAGGUUUACAAGACAGAGACAUAUAGGCUGCAUAGGUAGCGAAGCAAAGCAACAGGAUGCAUUGCCUUGCAGGCUAUGGCAAGGCCAGGCACAACGUCAAACUGCAUGCACUGUUUGCAACCAACAGAACUUUGAGGCUCUAUAUCUCGUAAACCUUUGAUCUUUGAUCUCUGAUCCACUAGGGAUUUUUUGGAUGUUUUGGCCUCUCUUUCGAUCUGUACCACUCUUCAGUUAACAGAUUUUGAUUUAAUGAACGGCAUAAAUUUAUAUCAUUUUUUCGUUUUGCAAAAAAACUAUUCAUCAAUUAAUUAUCCACUGAAAUUGUUAAAUUAAUGAUUUUCUUUACUGAUUGUAUCAGAUAUAUCAAAUUUAUUCUGCAUACCAUUGAUUUUAACAUAAAGUUGACUUCCAUUUUCACCAAAAAAUACAGUAUCAAUAAUCUGAAUAUUUGUAAUGAAUUUGCUGAAUUUUUUCAAAGAUUUUUGCAACUAUAUAAUACUACUAAAUUUUAUGAAAUAAUGAUUAAAUAUUAU